rnacentral:rRNA from 1 species
UGCCAGACUCCUACGGGAGGCAGCAGUGGGGGAUAUUGCACAAUGGGGGAAACCCUGAUGCAGCGACACCGCGUGGGUGAGGAAGCGCUUCGGCGUGUAAAGCCCUAUCAGUGGGGAAGAAAAAGGACGGUACCCAAAGAAGAAGCACCGACUAAAUACGUGCCAGCAGCCGCGGUAAUACGUAUGGUGCAAGCGUUAUCCGGAUUUACUGGGUGUAAAGGGAGCGCAGACGGCAGUGCAAGUCUGGAGUGAAAGCCCGGGGCCCAACCCCGGGACUGCUCUGGAAACUGUACGGCUAGAGUACGGGAGGGGCAGGCGGAAUUCCUAGUGUAGCGGUGAAAUGCGUAGAUAUUAGGAGGAACACCAGUGGCGAAGGCGACUUUCUGGACUGUACCUGACGCUGAGGCGCGAAAGCGUGGGUAGCGAACGGGAUUAGAUCCCCUCGUA